UACGUAGGGUGCGAGCGUUAAUCGGAAUUACUGGGCGUAAAGUGUGCGCAGGUGGCCGCGCAAGUCGAGUGUGAAAUCCCCGAGCUUAACUUGGGAAUUGCGCUCGAAACUACGUGGCUCGAGUGUGGCAGAGGAAGGUGGAAUUCCACGUGUAGCGGUGAAAUGUGUAGAGAUGUGGAGGAACACCGAUGGCGAAGGCAGCCUUCUGGGCCAACACUGACGCUCAUGCACGAAAGCGUGGGGAGCAAACAGG
rnacentral:rRNA from 1 species